GUUCCGACGACUCGAUCAGCCGGAGGAAGGAGGAAUGAAGGAAAAGAAAGGAGUAACGGUCAUGGACAGCUGGGAAGGAGGUGUGACAAAAAAUUUGACAACAAAGCAAAGACUACAUCACAGCCAUCCUCAGGCCGAUACCGGAGGAGCAGCCAGUGAUCAGCACCACUUUCUGUCCGGGACUCGCCAUGGCUCCACUGCCUC